CUACUCUGUAUUUUUUCCCUAUUCUAUAUUCUUCCUCAGCUCUUUAAUCCUUCAUUUAUACUAUUUCUAUUUGGACCUCCCUAUUUUUUGUGUGUGUUGGAUCUCUUCAGAGUGCCGGGAUGAGAAAUUUGCUUGUACAAGACUCUACUCUGUCCAUCGACCAGUCAAGCAAUGCGUUCAUCAGGUCUGCUUCACCAGGUAAAGGAACCCAGAAUGCCCAGACAGCAGCUUCCAUGGUAGUCUUUUUGUGUCAGUAACUAUUUAAUAAGUACUCACUAAGGAAUUGCAUCAUUUGAUAGGGCAGGUGUUUUUAGCAUAACUCUUCUAGCUAUUCCUGAAGGUGCUGGCUGGACCUCUGGGUUGAGGUAUACAAGGAUAGGCCGACUAAUAGAUAUCAGAAGAUAAGUGAAGGUGAAAGCGGAAGAAAAAGAGGGUCAUAAAGGAAACACUGGCAUGUUGGAUUUAUUACCUGAUUGAAAGAUGCUAAAGCAAAAGACUUAGAUAUGAAGGUAGAAAAUGGAAAGGAGCAGAGGACUUGACUCUAGGUGGAAAGUGUCAGUAGGAAGAGGAAUUAGCCUGUUGCAGUGGUGCCUGUAAUCACAGCUACUGGGGAGGCUGGAUCAGGAUCAUUCCAAGUUCAGGUCUGGCAACUUAGCCAGACCCUGUCUCAAAGUAAAAAUUAAAAAGAAGUGGGGAUGUAGCUCAGUGUUGGAGUACCCCUGGAUUCAAUUCCCAGUACGGGAAAGAAAAGUAAAGUAGGAAGGAAAGAAAGAAAAUUAAUAUCAUUCCAUUACCUGCAUUCUUCUGAGGGGUUAAAAAAAAAGUAGUCAUCUGAAAUACCUAAGGAAAUGUAGAUGGGGGAGGCUAGACAGGGGAAAGUGGGAACUACAGAGUUGAACAGCAGCCUAGGCCAAAGUUAGUUCUUCCCCUCAAGACUUUUUUCUAUCUCUUUCCUUGACCAUGAUACUGGAUGUUGCAGUUUACGACGUAUGUACAUCAUCAACAAUGAGAUCUGCUCCCGUCUUGUUUGUAAGGAACAUGAAGUUAUGAAAGGUAAGUUGACAUCUGGAUGUUUAAUGGGGACGAAUGAUUAUGAGAGAGGUAAGUAGGAUCAUGAUCCAAGAUCCAAGGAUUGGUUUGGAGGAGGACUCUGGCCCUAGGCUUUAGCUUUUAUCAGCCCCUAAUAGAAGUUUCCCCAAAUAAACAAUCUAAGUAAAGCAGUGUGCUUAAUACAAAUACAGACCUACAAAAGUACACCUAGAUCCUUUCCCAUCUAAAUGGCAGUCCCCCCAGUUUCUCUUAUAUAGACAGUUUUUUAAAGCUCUGUUUUAAAGGUCAACCACUGGGGUUCUAGGGAAAGGGCCAAUUCAGCAAUCACAGAUAAUAUGCUCAUCUAGUCAAUGGCCAAGUUCAUAGCUCUUUAAGGAAAACACACAUACACACAUACACACACACUAGUGUGGAGACAGUAAGGUUUGGAUAGGGUAUAUAAAACAGAUAGCAUGAUGGUGCACAUCUGUGAUUCCAGCAGCUGGGGAGGCUGAGGCAGGAGGAUCGAAAGUUCAAAGCCAGUCUCAGCAACUUAGUGAAAGCCUGUCUCAAAAAAUAUAAAGGACUGGAAGUGGUGGCACUCGCCUGUAAUCCCAGCAUCUUGGAAGGCUGAGACAGGAGAAUUAUGAGUUCAAAGCCAGCUUCAACAAAAAGCAAGGUGCUAAGCAACUCAGACAUUGUCUCUAAAUAAAAUACAAAAUAGGACUGGUGAUGUGGCUCAGUGGUCAAGUGCUCCUGAGUUCAAAUGCCCCUGAGUUCAAUCCCUGGUACCAAAAAAUAUAAAUAAAUAAAUAAAGGACUGGAGGUGUGGUUCAGUGGUUAAGCAUCACUGUGUCCAAUCCCUAGUACCCCCCAGAAAAAGGAAGAUUAAGAAAUUGGCUAUCUUAUAAACAGUUCACCAAUUCCAGGAACCAUUUACAUUGCUUAUAGAGAAAUUUAAGAAGUAGAGAAGGCAGAAAGAUGUUAUAAAAACAAUUUUACAAGGGUCCUAAAUGUGUGGUUUUAGACCAUGCUUGGUGAGAGUAAACAUACUUCUCACCUUCCCCAUGGACAGCCCCAAAUGAUGGCUGUGGUUGGUGACAACACCACAGACACAGCACUUCUGACUCAGCAGCCUGCUCUGCACUGAGUUCUUGAGUAAGAGCUGUAGUUAACUUUGCUGAAGGAAAUUUGCUGCUUGCCCCCAUUGGCUUUGUGCAAGCCACCUGCAAGGGAAGCACCUUGAGAUUGAGGAUGAGUAUUUGGGACUCUAGGCACUUUCAAGUAUCUCAGGGGAGUAACUAAAGUUAGCUAUGUGCACAUAGUAAACACCUAAAAGUGGAAUGAAUGAUUGGACCUCAUUUUCCUACUUACUCGAUCCAUGACUAGAAUUGGGAGCUGGGCAUAUAAAAGAAACUAACAUUUACUGGGGUGCUGGGUACUUUGCAUACCUUAUUUCAUUUUAACACAAGCUGUUAAGAUAGGUAUUUUAAUGCUCAUUUUACAAAAAGAAUACUGAGGUUCAUAAGUUAAGGAACUUUCUAGUAAGUGAUAAAUAACCAGUAAGUGGCAGAGGCUUCAACCCACCAGGUCUUUUUCUCUUCAACAUUUUUUACUACAUCUCAUUGCACAGCCUUUUCUUUCCCUUAAAACAAGAAGCCUUGUUAUCUUCCAGAAUUCUCCUCUCACUCUCUGCUUCUCCUCUAGAUGAACUUUGCCGUCAGAUGGCAGGUCUGCCCCCAAGGCGACUCCGCCGCUCCAACUACUUCCGACUUCCUCCCUGUGAAGAUGUGAAUUUGCAGAGACUCGAUGGUCUGUGAUCAUCAAGGAAGAAGAAAGAAGAAAGAAUGUGUGGGUGAGAGGAAGGGGGAAUUUCGUCUUCUACACCACUGUCAGCUAACCCAUAGACAUGAGAAUUUCUUAAACCUGUCCCUUUGCAAUAUCCAGCUUUUGCCCCUACUCCCUAAUUUUUGACCAAGACUGAUAACAUUUAUCUCAUUUUUCAGUACUUAAAACACAAUACCUGUAUUAUUGCAGUUUUGUUGCUUCCCAAUAUCAUAGGCAUAGUAGAUAAACAUGACUUAUAUUCAAACAUUCUAUAUACAAUUCUGGAAAGAAUAAACUUUAGGUUAAUGAUCUAUUUGGAAGGACUGGGGAUGUAGCUCAGUGGCAGAGCUUGCUUAGCAUGCGCAAGGUCUCGAGUUUGAUUCCCAGAACUGCAAAAAAUAAAAUAAAUAGUAAUAAUAAUCUCUGUCUGUGUGUGCAUGUGUAUUUGUGUGUGUGCGUGUGUGUGUAAUGCUGGCUAUCGAACCCAGGGCCUCUCAAAUACUGGGCAAGUGCUUUACCAUUAAGCUCCAGGCCCAGCCUGUAUGUUAAUAAUCUCAAUUAUUAGAUCUGUUGGAAAUAGACCUUAGGGUAGAAGAAGCCAUCUUUGUCUACUUUGGCUAACCAUAGAACUUCAUUUAUUUUCCUUCCAAGACCUCAUCAUCAUUUACAUAUUCCUCUUUACUCAUUUUUACUAUUUUGCCUGGAUUGUCCUAAUUUUGCCUGUCAGGUCUUCUUGGUGAAAAAGAUCAUGGUAAUUUUUGUAGUUCUGAAAGUCCUAGAAUUUUGUAGACUCAAGAUUCUCCCAACAGAACCAAAAAUCAUAUAUAUAAUUCUAAUAGCAAUACAGAAAGACCCAAAAUGUUAUCUUCUGCUAAGUGCAGAGUCUGGGGUUAAAAGAGAAGAUUGUGCCAGUUACAGAACUUGGACUUAUAAUUCUGUAUUCAAUUUUUUCAUCCAGUUGUUCAGUCAAGGAGUAGUGUUGAAAAAUGUGUUUCCUUUACUUAUUCAUUUGUGAUAGUACUGGGGUUAGCUUGCUUACACAAAGCAAACUAGACAACUUAAUGUGAAACCAUACCAUUGACCUGAGUUUCCUUGAGUUGUGCUACUUCUUUCAUCCUUAACACCAAGUGCAAAAAUAGAGCUUAUUGUGCAAAAGGAAAUUCUAGAAUAUCCUGGCUUCGAGCCUAAGAAGAACAUUCAUAUCUGAAUUUUUUUGUGUGCUAGUUAUUGAACCAGGAAUGCUUUGCCAUUUAGCUAUAUACCCAACUCUUCAUUUUGAGACAAGGUCUUUGUAAGUGGAUGAGGACCUUGCUUAGUUGCUGAAGCUGGUCUCAAACUUGCUAUCCUCCUGCCUCAGCCUCCCAAAGUCACGGGGAUUACAGGCUUGUGCCAUUGCACUGGGGUCAGAUAUAAAUUUUAAUAGGCAGAAAGCUUAACCUAAAGUUUAAAAUGAAAGAAACACAAUUUCUUGUCCUGGCCUUAGGAGUAGGAUGAAUCUUUAGAUAAGUCAUUUUCCUUCAUUAGGUCCUGGUCUAAUUUCCUCACUUUAAAAUGAGAAGGCUGAAUUUCUGUUAGUUCUUAGGCAUUAGUUCUAUGAUUUUCUGACAUAACUGCAUUAUUUAUAUUUUUCAAAGUCUAGAUGCAGUCUAAUUUACAAGCAUGUCUGCUUUAUCCUAAAUAUUGACAGUAGUACACAAUGCAAUACAAUCAAAUCCUACCCUCCUACCCCUGUGCUAGAGAUUAAACCCAUGGCCCCAAGCAUGUUGUUAGACAAGUGCUCUACCACUGAGCUAUACCUCCAGGCUCCUCAAAUUCCAUUCUAAUAAGUGACAAACUAUAUAUUGUGAACCCUUGGGUCUGAAUAACUAAAUAACUUUCUAGAAAAAUCAAUGGAAUUCAAAUAGGAAUUAGGGGAGAAGUUGUUACAUAUGACACUAGGGGUUGGAUUCCCUUCAUAGUGUCAAGAAAACUAGCUAAAUGAGGGUUGGAUUCUUGCUGUUAAGAAACAAUUUAGUUUAAUGGGAUUUGUACACCUUAUCGAAGAGAAGUGUAAGAAAACCUCAAGGUAUGCAAUCUCUAUUCCACCAUAGUCUCUAGAAUUAAAGUGUCCUUGUCCAGACAGACAUAGUAAGUGUAUAUUGUAGUCACUACAAAGAAACCUCCUGGGCAUAGAGUUUAUAAAAAUCAUCUUAAGAAUCUCUUCAUAGGGCUAGGGUUGUAGCUCAGUGGUAGUCCUUACCUAACAUUAAUGGAAGCCCUGGAUUCAAUCCUUAGCACCACAAUCAAUUAAUCAAACAAACCCAAAAUCUCUUCAUGAGACUGCAAAUUCAAAAUAAUGAUAAGGAGAUGGAAAGGUUAGUUAUCCCAUUUGAUCAAUGCUUAUUGUAUAUAUGUACUGAAAUAUCACACGUACCUCAUAAAUAUGUACAAUGAUUAUGUGUUAAUAAAAAUGUUUAAAUGCUCAAGGAAAUGGAAAUGUUAACUACUCUGAUAUGACUUUUGCAUACUGUAUACAUGUAUAAAAAAUUCACAUUGUACCUUAUAAAGUUGUACAAUUAAAAUAAUAGUUAAUGCUAAGAAUACUAAUAUUUAGAUUCGAAGACAUUCAAAAGUUCAGUUUAUGUUUGGGAUCUGGGAAAAUACCAAAAAGAAAAGAAUCUCUUGGGCUGGGGAUGUGGCUCAAGCGGUAGCGCGCUCGCCUGGCAUGCGUGCGGCCCGGGUUCGAUACUCAGCACCACAUAGCAACAAAGAUGUUGUGUCCGCCGAGAACUAAAAAUAAAUAAAUUAAAAAAAAAAAAAGAAAAGAAUCUCUUCAUGUACUUGACAUUCCUACUUCAUGAUAAAUGAUAGGUGACAUUCCCACCAGUGAGCACCUCAAUCCCAGUAUUUGUCUAUUGCAAAUUAAAUCUUUUACAAUAAAUUUUAUCCAAUCUUUUUUCCCUCAGCAUAAAGUGGUCUUUGGCUUGGUUAUUGUUUUUCUCUUUAAUGUUCACAAAAAAUACUUGAAUUUGUCCACUUUUAUCCCACUUUGAAAACUGAGUACCAAAAUUAGUCAACUUUCUUUAUUCUGCUCUUCUCUGUUUUAUCUUUUACUCCAUAACUUUACCAAUGGUUCUCCAAAAAUCCAAAUUUAUUUAGUCUCCUCCAGAUGUGUCCCCGUUUUGCUUUUCUGCUCUUAUCAGGCCCAACAAUCUUGGUAGUUGAAGUUUCAUUACUUACUCUCAUUUCUCUUUUGUGUAAAUUCCGAAGUUUUGCCAUUCCUUGUUCUAAUGUUCUCUACCCACCUUUUUUUGUGGUGCUGGGGAUUGAACCCAGGGCCUUACACAUGCUAGCCAAAUGCUCUACCACUGAACUAUAUCCCCCAGCCCUGGAAUUUAUGUCUUAAUGAAAAACAACUAUGUAAACCAAAUUAAUGGAUCUUUAAUAUUAGAAUUAAACAAUUUAGUAAAACAUCCAUUAGAGUUUGGAUGCUUUCUUGGUAUCCUGAAUAGAUAGCAACCUCAUCUGUCUGCCCAGAAGGUUCAUCUUUAACUUUCUCUUCCCAAAUUGAGUUGAUUCACAGUGGACACAGGGUUGCACACCUGUAAUCCCAGCUAUGUAGGAAACUGAGACAGGAGGAUCAUGAGCUCCAGACGAGCCCAGUAACUAAGUGAACCUUGUCUCAAAAUAAAAAUAAAAAGGGUUGGGGAUGUAGCUUAGUGAUAGAGUGCUUGUCUAACAUGACAACAUGGUGUUGGUUUGAUCCCCAACAACAAGAAUCAAUCAAUCAAUCAAUAAAAUAAAAUUGAGUUGAUUCUACUCUGAGUCUAAUUUUUCCCAUAUUUCAUGCUUCUUAGUCAAGAAAAUUAUCCUUUCUCUUCAAAUUAACAAAUUCUGGAAAUUCAAGUGUGAACUCUACUCACUAGAGUUUUCUAUGCACACUUUCUCUUAGUAUUCUUUUGACUCACAAGCAGAUGGUGCAAACCCCAGCUGGUUUCCCCACCUCUAGAUUUUAUUUUGAUGACAUCAAGCAGUAUAUGUUGCUAGCCACAAGCUCCUCCCUACUUUAGGGUGUUUGUGGCAAAAGAUGUAUGCUAAACCAAAUACUGUACCCCUGGUUGGAAGGUGCAAGCAACUUGUGAACUCUAAGUUUCCUCUUCCUUUUGUACUGAAGUAACUGUAACACAGUGGACAGAUCAGAAGAUGGAGAGCAACAGACCAAAGAAUCUUGAGAGCACGAUGAUAGGUUGGCACCAGGGGAAGAGAACCAGGAAAUGAGUUAGUGGGAAUUUUCAAAUCUGCAAAUAUAGGGUGAAAUGGAAAGAUAUCAGGAGCACAGCAGAAGAGAGGCAGGACCACCCUCAUGGUUUUGUGAACUCAAAGAAGGUACAACACUUCAAUAAAAUUGACAUCCUGGAGCCAGGUGCAGUGGUGCACGCCUGAAAUCCCAGCAACUUGGGAGGCUAAGGCAGGAGGAUUGAAAGUUCAAGACCAGCCUCAGCAAUUUAGUGAGGCCCUAAGCAACUCAGGGACACUCUCUCAAAAUUCUAAAAAAUAAAAAAAUAAAAAAAAAGGAGGGGGAAGCUGGGGAAUUUACUUUAGUGGAAAAGUCCCUCUGGGUUUAAUCCCCAGUACAAAAAACAAAAAAAACAGUUGACGUCUUGGCAUCUUUAAGCAUUUUCACUAACCAAACAUCAGGGAAAGUGACAUGUUUAGUUUCUCUGGUGGAGAGAGGAACAGGUGGCCACAGUUUUCAGAGUUUUUUUUUUUUUUUUUUUAAACCAGUCAAGUAGAGCCAUAAGUAGCAGUCAGACAACCACUUCUGGGCAGAACCCAAGGCGGAAAAAGCAAAUGUUUAUAUAAAUAGACGUGCAGAGCCCAUAGUUUCCUGUUAACAAAUUGAGCUUUGCUUUACCUCAAACCCUCACGUUUUAUUAAGUAGCUGAUAAUGGUUUUGUGUUUUUUUCACCUUGUAUAAUCACUUUAAGGUUCUAGUUUGUUUCCUAACCUGUAGAUCUUACAGUUUUUUUUUUUCUUCUGUAUUUCUGGUAUUUUUCUCUUUCCUCUCCCUUUUCCCUUCUGUGUGAUUAUCUGCCAUACAUAUCUACUACAUAAUUAAAUGUAUGCAGCAAUCCAUAGUGACUGAAUUCAGAAUGAUCUUGUAAAUUUAUGUGAGAUUCACCUCUUCCCCCAUACCCCCUUAAAAAGUAAUGAUUGAGUUGGCUCUGUGGUACAUGACUGUAAUUACUUCUAACAACUGGAGAGGCUGAGGCAAAAGAAUCUCAAAUUUGAGGCCAGAGUAGGCAACACAGUGAGACUCUCAGCAACUUAACAAGACUGUCUCAAAAUAAAAAUAAAUAAAUAAAAAGGGCUGAGGCUAUACCUCAGUGGGUGAACAUCCCUGGUUGAAUCCCAAGUGCAGAGAGAGAGAAAAAAAAAUUAUCAAAUUACAAAUGGCCUUUGCUAGAAGGUCAUUUGAAAUUUGAUAAAGUCAACUGUGCUCUUUUAUGUUGCCACAGAAUGAGUCUGAGAUAGAAAGACCUGGAAUAAUGUAGUAAUUCAUAAUUAAAGUCCAAAUGCUCAUAAGAAUGACAAUAUAUGCUGAGACAGGGAAAGAAUAUUUUCUCUCAUCAUGUAGAAACUAAGCAAUUAUAUCCAUGAUGAUUAUGAUGUCUAGAAUCCAAAUCAAUGUGGUUCUAGGUAUCAUCAACAACAAUAAAAAACAAAAGAGAAGCAGCAGCAGCAGCCAGGCACGGUGGCGCAAGCCUGUAAUCCCAGCAGCUCCCGAGGCUAAAACAGGAAGAUUGAGAGUUCAAAGACAGCCUCAGCAAUGGCAAGACGCUAAGCAACUCAGUGAGACCCUACAUAAAAUACAAAAUAGGGCUGGGGAUGUGGCUCAGUGGUCGAGUGUCCUUGAGUUCAAUCCCUGGUACCAUCCCCCACAAAAAAAAAAAAAAAGAAAGAAAGAAAAAAAAACUGCAGUUGUAUCACCCUGUUCAAUCCAAUCUAACUUUUUUUUUUUUUUGGUGAGGAUAAAAUCAAGGGCCUCAUGCAUGCCAGGCAAGCGGUCUACCACUAAGCCAAAUCCUUAGUUUGUCCUGUUCAAUUCAAUACAAAAUAAUUGGUAUGUGUUUCAGUGCCAAUCCAAACUUGGCAUUCACUAGUUAUGUGAUUUUAAACAAAUAAUUUCUCAACUGUAAAUUGUUGGCAAUUUACCUGCCUUACAGAUGGUUCUGAGAGUUAACAAGAUCAUAUAUUCACAAGAUCAUAUAUUCAAAAUGUUUAGCACCUGUAAGACUAUUAAGUAUAUAAUAAACUAUGU
rnacentral:lncRNA from 1 species